rnacentral:rRNA from 1 species
GCUAGCGGCGGAUGGGUGAGUAACACGUGGGCAAUCUGCCCUAAAGACUGGGAUACCACUUGGAAACAGGUGCUAAUACCGGAUAACAACAUGAAUCGCAUGAUUCAAGUUUGAAAGGCGGCGCAAGCUGUCACUUUAGGAUGAGCCCGCGGCGCAUUAGCUAGUUGGUGGGGUAAAGGCCUACCAAGGCAAUGAUGCGUAGCCGAGUUGAGAGACUGAUCGGCCACAUUGGGACUGAGACACGGCCCAAACUCCUACGGGAGGCAGCAGUAGGGAAUCUUCCACAAUGGACGCAAGUCUGAUGGAGCAACGCCGCGUGAGUGAAGAAGGUCUUCGGAUCGUAAAGCUCUGUUGUUGGUGAAGAAGGAUAGAGGCAGUAACUGGUCUUUAUUUGACGGUAAUCAACCAGAAAGUCACGGCUAACUACGUGCCAGCAGCCGCGGUAAUACGUAGGUGGCAAGCGUUGUCCGGAUUUAUUGGGCGUAAAGCGAGCGCAGGCGGAAUGAUAAGUCUGAUGUGAAAGCCCACGGCUCAACCGUGGAACUGCAUCGGAAACUGUCAUUCUUGAGUGCAGAAGAGGAGAGUGGAACUCCAUGUGUAGCGGUGGAAUGCGUAGAUAUAUGGAAGAACACCAGUGGCGAAGGCGGCUCUCUGGUCUGCAACUGACGCUGAGGCUCGAAAGCAUGGGUAGCGAACAGGAUUAGAUACCCUGGUAGUCCAUGCCGUAAACGAUGAGCGCUAGGUGUUGGGGACUUUCCGGU